AUUGAACGCUGGCGGCAUGCUUUACACAUGCAAGUCGAACGGCAGCGCGGGCUUCGGCCUGGCGGCGAGUGGCGGACGGGUGAGUAAGGCAUCGGAACGUGCCCAGUAGUGGGGGAUAGCAUGACGAAAGCCGGAUUAAUACCGUAUACGACCUGAGGGUGAAAGGGGGGGACCGAAAGGCCUCGCGCGAUUUGAGCGGCCGUUGUCGGAUUAGCUAGUUGGUGGGGUAAAGGCUUACCAAGGCGACGAUCCGUAGCUGGUCUGAGAGGACGACCAGCCACACUGGGACUGAGACACGGCCCAGACUCCUACGGGAGGCAGCAGUGGGGAAUUUUGGACAAUGGGGGCAACCCUGAUCCAGCCAUGCCGCGUGCGGGAAGAAGGCCUUCGGGUUGUAAACCGCUUUUGUUCGGGAAGAAAUCCUCUGGGCUAAUACCCCGGGGGGAUGACGGUACCGGAAGAAUAAGCACCGGCUAACUACGUG
rnacentral:rRNA from 1 species